UGAGGCAGGAGAAUUGCUUGAACCCAGGAGAUGGAGGCUGCAGUGAGCCGAGAUCAUGCCACUGCCCUCCAGCCUGGGUGACAGAGCGAGACUCCAUCUC
rnacentral:miRNA from 1 species